GAUACCAGGGUGCAAAAGCCUAAGUCCCACUUGAGCUUGCUCAAAAGUGGGACUUAGGCUUAGGCACCCGCCCCAAAUAUGAGCAUAAAAGCAGGACGCCAGUCCUGCGAUAUGCGAAUAUUUGGCAGGAUUGCGAGAGCACGCAGUACGGAGCAAUCCGUAGGUAUC
rnacentral:sRNA from 1 species